UCCAUGUGCACCCUCUUGGGGCCUUGACUUGGCAUGGGAGACAUUCAGCCGCCCAGACUAUGGAGAGGUUACUUGGAGGGGCCAUGCGGGGGAACCACGUGGAGGGGCCACGGGAACUUCCAGAAACUGCCCAAGCAUUUGUGAAGGGAUGUGGAAGCUGCCCAUGGUGGGGCCUGGCUCUCCCCAGAUUUGCUGGGGACAUUUGUCACGGAGCCGUCAUGGCUGGAGAGGAGCCAGGCUGGAGCACACAUGCUUGUCCUGCGCCACCCGAGGCUGGAUACCACGGGGGAGCAUGGGGCCGAGGUUCUCCAGGACACUGUCUUUCCAGUUCCGAUGUGCAGCGAUCUUCGGCUGGGACUGGCAGAAGGCUGUGCUACCGACAUGCACUCGGCAAUGCUUCUGUGCAAGUGAAGGAGCCAGGAAGUGGGGCAGUGAGGCUGGGGUCAAGGCCCAGGGCACCCCAGGAGCAUUUCCCCAGGCCUCUGGUUUGCUCUGCAGUUCACAGACCUUCUAUAGGGUUCAGCCUCAUGAUCAGCAUUGCCUCAUCCCCUUCCAGGGUGGGGACAGUGAGGGGUGCCGUCAGCCAAGCCUUGGUGGGCGGCACAUGCCAGGGGCUGUGCUGGGCCUCCCCCGUGCUGUGGGGGACGUGGACCCAAGGUUUCAGGAGCCUUGGCUUCCUUGUGACUCUGUGGCCAGCCAGUGGCCGGAGGGUACCUCAAUACGGCUCCUGGGGGCAAGAGUGUGUGUCCCUGGUGGAGGCACUUGACCGUGUGAGCCCAGGGCUGCUGUCCUGCCUCUGUGGCUCCUCUGUAAGGCGGGGACAACUGUGCCCCAAAGUGAUCCCUGAACUCUCGGUGCUUCGAACAGCUGGGGCUGCUGGGGGCGUGAGGCAGGGCGGCACCCUGUGUCUUGGCCACGGGGAGCCCACCCACAGGCUGCUAUGGCCACUCUGUGAAGCGCUCCCACGUGCUGUGGUGCCCAGUAGGGCUCCCUGGGGACUAGCUUUCCUCUUUGGUCUUCAUGGGAGGGCAUGCAGGAGGGGCUGGGAGGCAGCAGAGGAUGGCUCCUGCCCCUCCCACUCUCUGGGCCUCUCCCCUCCCUCUCUGACUCUUUCUGUAUCUACCCACCUCCCCACCAUCUCAGGAUGGGGGUGGCCUGGGCGCCGGCUGCCCGUGGGCUCCAUGCUCAUGACUGACAGGGACCCAGGACCAGGUCAACCAGAUUUUGUUUCCUUCUCAUCAAGGUCAGCCAGCGCUGGGGGCCUCAAGUGGACCCAUGCGAAUCCAAGGUGGACAAGUGCUGAAAGGGAACAGCAGGGGUGUUGCAACAAGCUGAAUGAAUAUCUACACCCAACAUGCGGCUCAAGCUCAUGACCCAACAUCAAGAGUCCCAGGCUGCAUGACUGAACCCACCAGAGAGAGAGAGAGAGGCAGAGGGAGAAGCAGGCUCCACCCUGGGAGCCUGAGGUGGGACUCGAUCUCGGGACUCCAGGAUCACACCCCGGGCUGCAGGUGGCGCCAAACCGCUGUGCCACCGGGGCUGCCCCUCUGCCCCUUUCCUGCCUCCCAUGUCCCUUCCCCAUGUCCCUUCUCCAGCGCUGGCCUGGAUGCAGCUGCGGCCAUGCCCACAGGUCUUCAACGGAUGUGGCGGAGCCACAUUCAGCCCAAGCGGUGACUUCUCCAGGUGGUGCUCCUGCUGGGGAAGAGCCACAUUCUCACUGCAGCCCCUGUGAAGUCCCCCUCCCCUUGGGUGUGGUGGGCUGACUGAGUGACUUAUUUCUGAAAGACGGAGGAGGCACCUUAGCCCUGGGGUCAAGGUCACUUUGGGAGCAGGUGCCUCAAGGUGCCCUGAUGGGAAGGUGCUUCACCUGUGUACGAUCAUCCCCAAUCCCACAGCCCUAGAGACUCAUGAGAAAGCAUCAGAGCAACCCAGAUCGGCUGAGGGCAGUCCGGAAACACCUGACCAAUGCUGCUCAAAGCUGUCAAGGUCACUGAAGUCCACGGCUUCCCCACGGCUGCUUCCCAGCAUUCUGAUGACGUCAGGAUCUGCUGCUCUUUUCCUAGGUUAAUUUCAUUCUCCAGCAAACUUUGAAAUGGGGAUGCAGUUGGCUGCCAGCCCCCCAGAGGUACUUUCGUGCUCCAUGUGCAGCCCCACUUGCACGCGGAGCUCUCCUCCUCCAGAGUCUGGCCUGAGGUGGCCUGAAUGUUUGAGGCCUGGAGGUUGCUUGGUGCUCGACUGCUUCUGUCAGUCAUUGCGAGAGGUCCCGGCCAGGAGCCCAACAGGGGACCUUCUCCACUGUGACCCUGUUGGCCCCUGACCUUGGACUGUCUGUCCUCCCGAACCGUGAGGAAUUGAUGUCUGUUUAUGUCUGUUUAUGAGCCUUCCACCCAUAGUCGAUGAGCAGCCGGACGGACCAGGAUUUGGUCUGAGCUUGGUUUCUGUGCCAUGAACUCUGAUGGCGCUGUUUUCCGACAUGGCUAUGGUGCGAAGUCCCCAGUAUCUGCCUCCCCCGCCGCCCCUGGGCUUCAGUGGGGCACAUGGCCUCCAGGGUAAGGACAGGCCUCCCAGCCAUGUUGCAGCUUGGUGCAGCCAGGUGACAAUGCAACCCAGCCCAGGGGCUCCCGGUGGGGCCAUGUCCUCGUCCUACAGCUGCAGUAGGUGUGGCAGCAAGGCCUCGGGAGUCUGCCACCUCUGACACCACCCUGGCAGCCAGGACCCCUGGGUCACUCUUAGGAGAGGACACCAUGCAGCAGCCCUGGUCCUCGACCUCUGCGCUGACUCGGGCUCGCGUCACCGGCAGCCCAGCUCAGGUGGGAGUGACCCCGACAGACCAACCCCCACGCAGGACCACUGAGCCAGCAGGUGUUGGCAACACUGCCCCUUGCCCUCGGGACACGGACGCCAUGGCUCUGGUGACACCUGCACUCCUGCUGGAUUGUGGAACGGACCAGAGGGCGCCUCGUGCAGCUGGGGGACGUUGACCCCGUGGGGAGCCAGCUGGCUGUUUCCUUCACCCUAAAUUCACAUCCUUAACAUGGAAAUUGAUGCCACUUUAUUUUCUCUUUCAUUAAAAA